rnacentral:lncRNA from 1 species
UAUUUUAUUUUUAAAUAAUUAUUUUACCUUAUUUCCUUUAAUAUUUCAUUAAUCAUUAUCUUCUUCUAUUUGGUUUACCCAUUUCCCCUUUAAAAAUUGGUUGGCGCUCGUUCUAUAAUAGGCAACCCUAUUUACAUUGUAUCAUCUCUUGUGUUCCAUGUUCGUGAUUUCAAAUUUCGUCCAAGGUUCGUUGUCAUGUCAUUUUAAUGACAAUGACAACCCCCAUAUCUCAUUCUCAAAAUGGAGGUGGAAAUGUUUUAAAAAGCAAAGCAGCUUCAAAAAUAAAUCAUUUUAUUUCAACAAAUCAUCUUCCUCUUGGGUUUUUGAGAAUAAAGAUCACAGUCCUCCCUCCGGGAGCUUCAAGCCAUCCACACCGGUGAUGGAACUAGGGCUAUACCACAACAAUGGACCAUGAAAUCUAGGCUGCAACACUGAACAUCUUUUGCUGCACUGACCUAGGGCCUCAACAUCUGCCCAGGUCAAGAGAAGUCCACAGCAGUACCAUACGACAUCAAGAAGAUACCAUCAGCUACCAAAAGCCAUAAGUAUAAUCCAGAAUUGUUAGUUUUUGGCAAGAAUUUGAAUACAUUUGUUAAUGCAAUUUACUAAGUCAUUUUAUUUAUUAUAUCUUUAUGAACAAUAAACAUGAUUAGUUAAAAACUA